UACGGAGGGGGCUAGCGUUGUUCGGAAUUACUGGGCGUAAAGCGCACGUAGGCGGCUUUGCAAGUCAGAGGUGAAAGCCCGGGGCUCAACCCCGGAAUUGCCUUUGAGACUGCAUCGCUAGAAUUGUGGAGAGGUAAGUUGGAAUUCCGAGUGUAGAGGUGAAAUUCGUAGAUAUUCGGAAAGAACACCAGUGGCGAAGGCGACUUACUGGACACAUAUUGACGCUGAGGUGCGAAAGCGUGGGGAGCA
rnacentral:rRNA from 1 species